UGAUGUGAGGGCCACCUGGCUGUGACAUCUGUCACCCCACUGAUUGCCAAGGUUGAUUUGGCUGACCUGGCUGGCUAGGUGGGUGUCCCCUUCCUCUUUCCCUACUCCAUGGGUGUGUCCCACCAUAAGCUGUGUGCUUGGCCACCUACCCCUUCCCCCUUGCCCAAAUAGGAGGACUGUUCUUCAGUCAAGGAUAUAUAAGUAGCUGUAAUCCCCUGCUGAACUUCCAAACAAGCUCACGAGAUGUCAUAAGAACAUCAACAUAAAAGCAGUCCAGGAAUCCAGGAACAUGGCAU
rnacentral:snRNA from 1 species